AGUGAACGCUGGCGGUAGGCCUAACACAUGCAAUCGAACGGCAGCACAGUAAGAGCUUGCUCUUACGGGUGGCGAGUGGCGGACGGGUGAGGAAUACAUCGGAAUCUACUUUUUCGUGGGGGAUAACGUAGGGAAACUUACGCUAAUACCGCAUACGACCUACGGGUGAAAGCAGGGGAUCUUCGGACCUUGCGCGAUUGAAUGAGCCGAUGUCGGAUUAGCUAGUUGGCGGGGUAAAGGCCCACCAAGGCGACGAUCCGUAGCUGGUCUGAGAGGAUGAUCAGCCACACUGGAACUGAGACACGGUCCAGACUCCUACGGGAGGCAGCAGUGGGGAAUAUUGGACAAUGGGCGCAAGCCUGAUCCAGCCAUACCGCGUGGGUGAAGAAGGCCUUCGGGUUGUAAAGCCCUUUUGUUGGGAAAGAAAAGCAGCAGGUUAAUACCCCGCUGUUCUGACGGUACCCAAAGAAUAAGCACCGGCUAACUUCGUG
rnacentral:rRNA from 1 species